AUGGAGUGGCUAUGGAAAAUCCUCUUUCUGCUCACAGUUUCCACAGGUGUGGACUCCCAGGAGCAGCUGGUGCAGUCUGGGCCUGAGUUGAGGAAGCCUGGAACAUCAGUGAAGAUCUCCUGCAAGGCAUCCGGAUACAGCAUCACAAGCUACGCUAUUAACUGGGUGCAGCAGCGUCCUGGUCAAGGGCUUGAGUGGAUGGGAAGAAUUUUCCCUGGUAGUGGUAGUAUAAACUACUCACCAAAGUUUCAGGGCAGAGUAACCCUCACUGCAGACAAGUCCACCAGCACAGCCUACAUGGAAAUGAGAAAUCUGACGCCUGAUGAUACAGGCACAUAUUUCUGUGCGAGAGACACAGUCAGCAUUUAUGUGGAAGAGAUAGCUACCCAGGGACAAAUCAUAGCACAGAGAAGUAUACCUGAAGACACAGAUGACUCUUUAGUGUCCACUGCAAAUUUUCAUGCGGACAUAACAGAAAUCACAGGAUGGACUACUCACUGCACACAGAACACUGUAAUUACUGGAUUCAACUAUGAUUAUUCUUCCUUAUGA